GAAAUGCGAUAAGUAGUGUGAAUUGCAGAAUUCAGUGAAUCAUCGAAUCUUUGAACGCACAUUGCGCCCUUUGGUAUUCCUUAGGGCAUGCCUGUUCUAGCGUCAUCUAAACCUUCAAGCCCUGCUUGGUGUUGGGUGCCUGUCCCGCCUCCGCGCGCGGACUCACCUCAAAUCCAUUGGCGGCCCCCGCGUCGGCCACGAGCGCAGCAGAAACGCGAACUCGUGAGCCCGUCCGGGCGGCUCCCAGAAGCUACACCCACCCAGUUUGACCUCGGAUCAGGUAGGGAUACCCGCUGAACUUAAGC
rnacentral:misc_RNA from 1 species